UAGGGAAUCUUCCGCAAUGGACGCAAGUCUGACGGAGCAACGCCGCGUGAGUGAAGAAGGAUUUCGGUUCGUAAAACUCUGUUGUUAGAGAAGAACAGCGCAUAGAGUAACUGUUAUGCGUGUGACGGUAUCUAACCAGAAAGCCACGGCUAACUACGUGCCAGCAGCCGCGGUAAUACGUAGGUGGCAAGCGUUGUCCGGAUUUAUUGGGCGUAAAGCGAGCGCAGGCAGUCAAUUAAGUCUGAUGUGAAAGCCCCCGGCUCAACCGGGGAGGGUCAUUAGAAACUGGUUGACUUGAGUGCAGAAGAGGAGAGUGGAAUUCCAUGUGUAGCGGUGAGAUGCGUAGAUAUAUGGGGGAACACCAGUGGCAAAGGCGACUCGCUGGUCUGUAACUGACGCUGAGGCUCGAAAGCGUGGGUAGCAAACAGG
rnacentral:rRNA from 1 species